AUUGAACGCUGGCGGUAGGCCUAACACAUGCAAGUCGAACGCGAAAGUCCUUCGGAUGAGUAGAGUGGCGGACGGGUGAGUAACGCGUAGGAAUCUAUCCUGUAGUGGGGGAUAACGUUUCGAAAGGAACGCUAAUACCGCAUACGCCCCAAGGGGGAAAGCGGGGGAUCUUCGGACCUCGUGCUAUAGGAGGAGCCUGCGUCGGAUUAGCUAGUUGGUGAGGUAAAGGCUCACCAAGGCGACGAUCCGUAGCUGGUCUGAGAGGAUGAUCAGCCACACCGGAACUGAGACACGGUCCGGACUCCUACGGGAGGCAGCAGUGGGGAAUAUUGCGCAAUGGGCGAAGGCCUGACGCAGCCAUACCGCGUGUGUGAAGAAGGCCUC
rnacentral:rRNA from 1 species